rnacentral:rRNA from 1 species
GUGAAAUUGUAGUAUCGGUGAAGAUGCCGAUUACCCGCUGUGGGACGAAAAGACCCCGUGCACCUUUACUAUAGCUUAGUAUUGACUUUGAACAAGUGAUGUGUAGGAUAGGUAGGAGACUUUGAAGCUGCAUCGCCAGGUGUGGUGGAGUCGUUGUUGAAAUACUACCCUUUACUUGUUUAGAGCCUAACUUCCAAUGGAAGGACAGUGCUUGGUGGGUAGUUUGACUGGGGUGGUCGCCUCCAAAAGAGUAACGGAGGCUUCUAAAGGUUCCCUCAGCACGCUUGGUAACCGUGCGUAGAGUGCAAUGGCAAAAGGGAGCUUGACUGAGAGACAUACACGUCGAUCAGGUACGAAAGUAGAGCAUAGUGAUCCGGUGACACCGCAUGGAAGGGUCAUCGCUCAAAGGAUAAA